GUUUUGUGGCCAAGGCAGGGGCAGAAGCCAGCUCUUCUUACCCACUGUCCCCAAAGCUCAUCUCACACUGGAGUUGUGACAUCAGCACUAUUCUGCCUCUGCUAUACAACAGGCCCUGGAACAUACUCGAACCAUGUAGGUGAUUUGUGUCCCUGUCUCAUCUUUCUUACCAGAAUACCAUCGGAGCUCCUCUGGAACAUGUCCUUGUCUUCUCAGAGUGUGAAGUGUGUGUGUGACAGUGCUUUUCUGAGGACUCAGGUGACCUGGAGGCUGGAGAACAGCAUGGAGCAAGGAAAACAAAGACGAUGUGCUGGAGUGUAUGUUGCUUUCAUAAUUAUGUGAAAGAAAAUGUAGAGAAAUUUGAAAGGAGAACUGGUUAUCAGUAGUGCCAUCCUGCUCAAAUAUCUUCAAAUACACACCACCAUCCAUGUGUGGGUUGAUUAAGGAGCUGACGUUCAUUAGAUCUGCAGUCUCCUGACCUGAUGUGCAUCAGAAUCACUGGGAGAACAAACAAACAAAAAUGAAUCCAAAACAAGCAACGAACAGACAGAUUCUCAAGUCUUGCCAAGUCCAAAGAUUGAUUUGGUGGAGAAAUUGUACUUUGAAAGCUGCCCAGUGAUGGGAUCCUAGGAAAGCCAUUUCAUCUCUCCAGGCCUUGCAUUCUCAUUUCUACAAUGAAGAUGUGGGCUGUGUGGCUUCUAAAGCCCCCUGAAGUUUGAGCAUUUUGUGAUUCAACACAAACACGAAGCAGUAACUGCGGUGUUGGGCUUGUGGUGCAGGUAGGUGCAGUGUUUUCUGUGAUUGUAAGUGACUUGCUAGCUAUGGAAAUGGCAAGCUCCAGCCGAAAGACAGUCUCACCAGGCUUCUGUAGUCUGGAAGUUCCCAUAGCCUUGUUUGCUGGAGAAGCUGCCAAUAUACUGCAGCAGUUCAGAGCUCAAAGGACCAAGGUGGGGGUAGGGCACUUUUAUUUCCUGGCUGUGUGACAUUGGACCUAUUACUUAGCCACUCUUUAAGCCUCAUGUGUCAAAUGGGAAUAAUAAAAGUACCAACUCUGAAGGGGAUUACAGGAAGUAUUAAAUGUUGACAUGGUUCUUGGCACAUAGUAUGUGGUCAAUCAAUGUUAGCUGUUGCCAUUGUUUCUUAGCUGUGAAGUGAUAGUCAAUCUCUAAGGGCCCAUCCAGCUCUAAAUGGCUCUAAUUCUUUCGGCUUUGUGGAAAAUGUAGUGGCAGAUGACCUCCAGGAUGUUUGGUUAGCUGGCAUUUGGGGAACGAGGCCAAAGUUCACAUGAGAACUCCAAGCCUAUGACAAUAGCAAGUGCUAUUUUGGGGUUAUGUGACAUUUACUGACAUGAUGGAGCCUUUUGAUUAAACACACCUCGAAGCAUUUCUAUUUUGCAACUGCACUUGUAUUUUUCUGGGAGGAGGGGAAGCCAAGUAUUUUGUGGUACCCUCUGCUACAGGCUGAGGAGUUGAAGCUAUUAACCUAGAAAUGCACUGCCCAAGGCAAAUGGUUCCUUUAGUGAAUCUGAAAUGAUCACAAAGGAAGUCAGGUAGUCUCUGGGCAUGGACUGGAUUGGGCAGUGCUGGCUUAGGGCUGUGUUUGGCCUCCCUGACAACACAGCUCUGGGUCCAAAGUCCAAGAAGCCUGGGGGCUGUUUGCAGAAUCUGCUUUCAGGAGUCUUGGACUUCUGUGAAUGGUUAUUCUUCUGGGUGUUCUGUCCCGUACUCUGACAGUACUGGGACAUCGCUGGAGACUUUGUUACUUUCUGUCCAACCGCUGAUGUGCUUCUGCCUAUAGCUUAGCCUAGGAUGGCUCAGCUGGAGCAGGAUGGUGAAAGGUAGCCUACAUGUGUGCACUGACAUGGCUGGGCUGGUCAGGCCUCCUAGCAAAAGACAAGUGAUUCUGACAAGAUGUUCCGACACUCAGCCCUCAGGAUGAUCAUCUGUUAAGGUACUCUCUUGCUUGUUCAGCUGAUCUUAGGCCUUAAAUCUUUUGUAUCACGUGCCUUACUUUUAAGGUCAAGUGUUACCCAAUUAGAGUAAGUUUAUAUAUAUAUUUUAUUAUACUUUAAGUUCUAGG
rnacentral:lncRNA from 1 species